GACAAAUGAAAUUCCAGUCGCGUAGCAAGCUUGUCGGACCGCAUACAAGGUCCAACAAAUGAGGCAACGCUUUAGUUUAUGACUCAAAACAGACUCGUCGAGUAACAACGCAACGAAAUUCAAACUCGUCAGUGAAUCCCUAUGAACUGCUUGUCACGCUGUUCCUGUUACACCCAGAUAAAUACGGAUUAAAGGAUGAAAUAAUAUUGGUUCCAGUCAGAGGAUAAAUUGGAAACAAGAAAGUCUUAGGAAGAUAUAAAAGCAUUGGAUGUGGGACCUGAAUGCAUGUGGAUCAAAGUUUAACAUGAAACCUAAGAAACUGUGAACUGACCCAAGGCUGUUUAUACUGACCAGGACAAGAUGAAGAGUGGAAUAGAGAAUUUCUGGGAGCCA